AACGAACGCUGGCGGCAUGCCUAACACAUGCAAGUCGAACGAGACCUUCGGGUCUAGUGGCGCACGGGUGCGUAACGCGUGGGAACCUGCCCUUAGGUUCGGAAUAACUCCCCGAAAGGGGUGCUAAUACCGGAUAAUGUCUUCGGACCAAAGAUUUAUCGCCUUUGGAUGGGCCCGCGUUGGAUUAGCUAGUUGGUAGGGUAAAAGCCUACCAAGGCGACGAUCCAUAGCUGGUCUGAGAAGAUGAUCAGCCACACUGGGACUGAGACACGGCCCAGACUCCUACGGGAGGCAGCAGUGGGGAAUAUUGGACAAUGGGCGAAAGCCUGAUCCAGCAAUGCCGCGUGAGUGAUGAAGGCCUUAGGGUUGUAAAGCUCUUUUACCCGGGAUGAUAAUGACAGUACCGGGAGAAUAAACUCCGGCUAACUCCGU
rnacentral:rRNA from 1 species